rnacentral:rRNA from 2 species
AUAUACGAUCAUAGGCACCAGGGCAAAAAACUCGGGAUCCCGUCCGCUCUCCCCUAGAUAAGCCGGUGACCGCCAGCCUAGUAAUCGGAUCGGUGACGACCGGUGAAUAAGCUGGUGUCGUAUGGA